ACUCGUCACCAGUCGCUCAGGGGUCGCGGGGGCCCCGCGCGCUGAUUCCCCCCUCACUCGCACUCUCCUUCCCGCGCCCCGCCGGCUGGAAAGCGCCGGCAGUCCCGUGUCCCCGGCCCCCUGCUCUCCCGUGGGCCGCCGAGGAUGGACAGCAGGACCGUCUAUUCUGGUUAUUCCGCACCGUGUUCUCGUGCGGAAGGGCCGAGCCGCGGGGGGAGGAGCGGCAGUGGCGGCGGCGGCACCGCGGGUGGAAGCAGGGGUCACGCAGCCGCGCCUGAGGCCCGGAUUUAAAAACAUGCGCAAGGUGCCCCUGGGCCUGCCCGAAAUAGCUCCGCUUUCCCCGGGCUUCCGCGCUUUGGGCCGUUCUCGCCUUUCUCAGGGGAUGCGGCGGCUCUGCCCGUAGGGCCUCUGUCAAGGGGAGCCAGAAAGUUCCCCCCACACCCUGAGAGAAGGGGCUUCGGGCUGUGUUGUCGAUGCUCCGAAUGAUAAUUUGAAAAACCACAGGAAGUAAGAUCAUGGGGAAAGCUCAGAGAAGUCUUUAGGAAUGUCAGAAAACGUCUGAAGGGGGGCUAUAAAGAUGGUAAAAGGUCUAGAGGGGAUGUCGCAUAAGGAAUAGCUGAGGUCGCUUGGCUUGUUCAGCCUGGAGAAGAGACUGGGGGGAACCUCACAGCAGUCGAAAGUGGAGGGGUGGCACUUCGUUUCUUUCUGGUGACCAUUGAAGGGCCUGCGGGAACGGCAUGAAGAUAUGGAGGUUUUGGUUGGAUAUUAGGAAAAGAUUCUUCGCCCUGAGGGUUGUUGAGAACGAGGACAGGCUCCCUAGGGAAGUGGUUAGGGUACUAAGUCUAACAUUAGUGUUUGGACAGCACUGUCGAAUCAGCAUAGUGUGAUUCUUGAUGUGGUCCUUUGCAGGGCCGGGAGUUUGACUUUAGUAAUCCUUUUAUAACCUUUUCAACUCAGGAUAUUCUAUGGUUCUAUGAACUUGGGAAAGGAAGAAGUACUGCGGAAGGAAAUAUACAUAAAUAAGUGGAUAUAAAUAAGCCUUGGGCCCCGGUGCAGACUUGAAGCCCAGAGUGAUGAAGAGUGGUUGGGUCAUUCUGAGCUGGUCUCAAGUGACAUUUCUGAGGCAUUUUCUCUGGUUUGGUCUAGUAAGGAGGAAUGAUGUGGGAUUUGGAGAGUCGGUGGAAAAAGUAGGCUCAGCUGGUGUUUGUGGUAACUAAGAGUUACACAGGUGUCAGGACUUGUAGCAACUUGACUAAUCUGUUUUCCUUGUGGAAAGGAAUGAGAAAUGCCCGAGGUCAGUAUCAGAAAAGUGAUGACAUUCAAACUUCAUGAACACUAAGUUCAUAUUCACCAAACAAUUAGAGAAAAGGUUUUGUAUUUAAGGAUUUCAGGCUAAUGGAUAUGAAAACCUGAAGAUGUAGAGUGGAUGUUAUAAUAAAACUAAUUUAGAUAACUUGUAGUCAUUUACAAGGACAAUUUAAUCUGGAGUGUUGUAAGCACUGAGUGUUUUGUGAAAUGCACCUAAGAGGCAUAAAGUUCUGAGCUUUAGCCAAAGUUUGAGUAGUGGUGGAACAGGAUUUCUAACUAAAAGUCUUGAGAAUUGAAGGACAUAAAAGUGUAGCUGGUAGGAAGCCAGGAGUGAGUAUUACUCUGUUGGGGGACAGGAUUAGUUAAUACGUGGAGCAGAAAAUGGUUGUAGAUAGCAACAACUGCAGUGAGAUAAUUGGCAAUAUAAGGGGAAGAGUUUCUGUUAGGUUGGUACUUAUUUCUAAGUCUUCUGUCAGUUGUACUGAGUGAUUCAAAUAGUGCUACAAAUUGCCAUCCUAUUAGUGAUGUAACUGAUGGCUCCUUGAAUGAGAGAAAUAGAAGGGAGAAUAAACACAUAAAUUCAAUAUUUACAUUGAAAUAUGCCUUACAUCAGUGAAUGGAUAAUUUUUGCUGGCUUUGAGUACUGUAAGAGUUGGUACUGGCUUUGUUUCUAGUAAGAAUUUUUAGCCAGAUGUAAUAGGUGUAUAUUACUGUAUAUAUUCUUACCUGUUGCAUGUGUGAGGGUUUCCUGGUUUUAAUUCCUUCUUUAUCCAUCAAAUCCUAGAUAUUCUUGUGCCUGAGCAGCAUGUAGAUAAGGUACGCUUAAUCAAUACUCAGGACAGAAGUUAUGGCCAUGUUUUUGUUCAUUGAGUUUUAAGAGAAUUUUAAAGAUAGUUUUUUUCCUCUGUAAAUUACCAUGCUUGAACUGAUACUAUUUUUUUCCAUUUGUGAACACGGAUGUACAAUUAGGAAGGCCAUUCUGCCAUCUUUUGUAGCUGAAAAGAAGCUUCAGCAUUCAGGUCUAGCAGAAAAUUCUACUCAAGCAUGUAUGGUUCUCCAAAUCUGUCCAUCCAUUGUUAAAAAAGAAGUAAGAUAAAGUCUGAACUAUGUGGAAAACUUCAGUGAAUCUUCAUUCUGUGCUUCUGUUGAAGGUUAUAACAUUCAGUUAUCUAACAGAUAAGUACUUAAGACUGCCAUUUUUUUGAUACAUUUGAAAUUUGCUACCAGGGGUCAUUAAGGUUAAGUAUUUAGACUUAAUUGUUGCUAUAAUGAACAGAAAAUUGGAUAUACACAGAAAUUUAUAAUGAAAACUGUUUCAAAUAAAGAUAGAUACUGAGUAGUCAUAUUAUUAGGCAUAUUUAAUUUAUUAUUUAUGUAGGAAAAAGUUGUCCUUUAGACAUAUUUGCCUUCCUAACAGUGGCAAUUGUUAGGAAAAAGCUUAGAUAGAGUGGUACAAAUUACAUUCCCUGAAUACAAUCCAGUUGGCAUAAGGCUAACAAAUAAUGUUUCAUUUGCACUACUUAUAUUUUUUAUAUAGCUCUAAUUAAGGAAAACCAUUUAUAUAUCAUUGCAUUUAAGGUACUUUGACUUGAAUCAGUUUCAACUCUAUGUUCUGUUGUUGAAUAAGCAUUUUAAAAUAUUUUUAAAUGCUACAGAAAACAUACAAAACAAGUAUUAAAGUAUUUUUAUUCAACAUUUAUUUUUAGACAUAUGUGCCAUUUUCAUAAUAAAUCUUAAAUUUGUAAUAUUUUGGUGAAGCUUAAGCUGAUACUGUUUAAAAUAUUUUUAUGUUCUGCAAUACAAACUAAUUUAUAUAAAGUUGUGACAGUAUAAUGUUUUGUAGGAUUCCUUAAGGCUUAGAUUAUUCCUACCAAAUAAAGAUCAUUUUUACUUCAUUGCUUAGCUGAGGAAAUUCAAUGCAAGGAUAAGGAUAUUAGAGACUUACACUUUAGCUCUAUUUGUAAUUAGCUAUUUGACACUGUGGCACAUACAUUUGUAUGUUGACACAGCUUUUCAGAAAAUAUUUAUUACUCACUGUCAUUUUGAAGCAAUCCAUUUUCUGAUUCUACUUUUUUCUCAUUCAUUUUGCAUAUAACUAUUUUUUUUCUGUAGUUUCCACAAUCUUAUUAGAUUUUCUUUCCCCAGACAAAUUUCAUUCUAUACUUUUGUUUCAUGUUUAAUUACAAAGCAUUUUAAAAUUAUAGUUGAUUUCCUAUGUCUAUUUUAUAUACUCUCUCAUACUGAUAACUUCCUGACAAUUAACUUUCAUCCACUGAGCUCUUUCUCUGUGUUUUUAAUUUUUCUUUUGAUCACCUUCUAUCUUUUCCUUUAUUUUUGAUAAAUUUUCUUUCCUGGCAGACUUUGACUGGUUGGUUUUACAGGUGUAGAGCAAAAAAGAUGUGCUACAGAAGUAGCAGCUUCAGUUUUCAGAUGUCUCUCUACAACAGAUAACACUUCUGGCAGUUGGAUACGAUGUUCAAAUGUACCUUUUGUGGCUCUCAUCUGUAUCCCAGCACUCAUCCUGCCAUUUCCAAAGAUUUGUGGCUUUGCUAUAAUCUGGGAUGACUCUUAGCAACUCCUUUCUAUCUGUUGUUUUCAAAAAGAAAAAAAAAGUUACACGAAGGACAAACAAAGCCAGCCCAAACACAUUCAGAAAUCAUAGAUCAAGUAAACAGCUUUCCUGACCUAUCUCAUCUCAUAUUCUGUGGGAAGCAAUGACCGUUGCUUGCAGGGCUCUCAGUUCAUCCCAAGAGGAGAGAAGGCACAAGAAUUGCCAAUACCUGAAUCAAGUCUCUUUCAGGGCUGAUGUUUCUCCUUCAGCUACUAACUGCACUAGGUCCCAGCAGGUGACAGAAUGGAGGAGGAAGAUGAAUCACUUGGAUUCUGCUGCCAUGGACUGACUUAUCUCUGACUUAACUGUGAAACAACUGAUGUGUCCUCCCAGAGAUGUAGCCAGCAGCCCCCGCUCCAGGGCACAUCCUAACAAGAGACCUCUGCCUCCUCCACCUCCUGUGUGCAUCAGCUUUGUCAAUGUGCAGUCCAGCGCUCCCCCAGCUGAUUAUUGGUAAAAUGAUUGAGGAUGCAUUAAUCCCCAAAGAAUUUGCUAAUGCAGUUCAUCAUGUUGCAAAUUAUUUUUAGUCUCUCUUAGCUGCUUCUGGGCAGACCAAUCAUAAAAGCAGAACUGCAAAACUUACUGUUCUACUUGUGCUUAUUUAUUGUUUCUCAUCUGCUUGGCUCUGUGUAAACAGCACAUGCUGAUGAACAUAUGGCUCAGGCAGAGUAAGACUAGAAGGUGGAAGAACACCCCAGCAGAGCAAAAUGCUUCCUCCUCUGGAAUCAUCACAGAAUCAUAGAAUGGUUUGGGUUAGAAGGGACCUUAAAUAUAUACUUCCAACUCCCUCGCCACCUUCCAAUAGACCAGGUUGCUCCCAACCCUAUCCAGUCCUGGACACUUUCAGAGAUGGGACAUCAGCAGGUUCUCUGGGCAACUUGUUCCAGUGCCUUACCACCCUCACAGUAGAGAAUUUCUUCCUGUUUAAAGCUGUUGUCCCUUCUCCUGUCACUCUAUUGUCCUUGUAAGAAGUGCCUGUCCAGUUUUCUUGCAUAGUCCCUGGAGGUACUGAAAGGCCACAACCAUCUCUCUGGAUCUCAUUGAGCCUCCGAAUAACAAAAUUCCUAACUAAUUUACUAAUAGUCAGAAAACCUUUUAUUUCAAAUUACUUAUUUUUGUUUGUUUGUUUUGUUAGAAAGGAAAAGUUAACAAGUAGCAUAGAUAAUAGACAUGUGCUCCUACCUGGCAGCAUUUUUUAGCCUAUGCACAGGCUGGCUGACUGGCUCCGAAAUUCCAUUUUGGUAUCUUCCAUCCUGUUCAAGCUGCCCCUGGUACCCAGCAGUCCAAAUUGUUCUAUCUUGUAUUGGCUUGGAAGUUGUGCCCUGACACCCCUCUGCUCCAGUCAUGCUAUGUUCAAGGAAUCAGUGAACACCCAUCCUGGGACCCUGACAAAAAUACAAAACUCACACUGAUAUUUUUUCAGCCAGAUCAGCAGGCUGGAGAUAUUAACUUCAUUACAAGACCACUAGGUGGCAAUUUAGUAGCCCUGUUUUAGAUGUUUAAUAUAUUUGAUUUCUGUUUUGCUUUAGAUGCAAACUUGAUGAAUGGCAAAUUGAACAGCAUUCUGGAAAACCUGUACUGGUUGUUCCUGCCAAAUAUAUCAAAGUCUUUCUGCUUAUCACACCUCUCCCAGAGAUUCAUUAAAUUCAGUGAAUGCCUCUGAGCACACAGUGAACACCUCUGGCCAGGUGGCAGGAAAGUUAAUUGAUUAUCAA